AACGAACGCUGGCGGCAGGCCUAACACAUGCAAGUCGAACGAACCUUUUAGGUGAGUGGCGCACGGGUGCGUAACACGUGGGAAUCUACAUCUCGGUAAGGAAUAACGUAGAGAAAUUUACGCUAAUACCUUAUAAUGACUCCGGUCCAAAGAUUUAUCGCCGAGGAAUGAGCCCGCGCUAGAUUAGGUUGUUGGUGAGGUAAAAGCUCACCAAGCCUACGAUCUAUAGCUGGUCUUAGAGGAUGAUCAGCCACACUGGUACUGAGACACGGACCAGACUCCUACGGGAGGCAGCAGUGAGGAAUAUUGCGCAAUGGGGGGCAACCCUGACGCAGCCAUGCCGCGUGAAUGAAGAAGGCCCUAGGGUUGUAAAAUUCUUUCAGAUGCGAAGAUAAUGACGGUAACAUCAGAAGAAGCUCCGGCUAAAUUCGUGCCAGCGCCGCGGUAA
rnacentral:rRNA from 1 species